UAAUGUAAAUCCAUGUAGAAAUACACAACGUGAGAAGAUUAUGAGUAAAGGAAAAGUAAUUAAAGUGUUAAUUAUUGAUUAGUGUUAAUCUAAACAAAUCUAAGAAGCAUCUUUGACUCGGAAAACUUUAGUAAAUUAACAAUGAUGUUUGAUUAAGAAAUCUACAGUUGCAUGUUUUCUUUUGCCUUCUUGAUGACUGGAAUUGAAAGAAAACUGUUGCUUUAUUGAGAUGGCUUGAAUCAAAUAUUGGAUAGUUUCCAUUACAGCAUUUCUUUCACUUUUAAUAGUUAACGUUGAAAAUUUGGAAACCUUGGUCUGAACCACCCCAACUGCCAGCUGACAGUUUAAAGACUCAUGCUAGCUUGGAACUGGCACAUUAUGAGUCAACAGAUUCUGGUUUUUAUUACUGAUUCAUGCCUAUUGAAAAAGAAAUGGGAAAAAGAACAAUCUGGAACUCAACUUUUCUUCUUUUCUUUAUUACUGAUGUUGAAAAUACAUUUAUGAGGUAAGAAAUUGCUAAAAUCUUAGGUAAAGAAAGAGUUAACACUUCAAUACUGUUUUAGACAGUUAUGUCCUAUGUUGCUAGAACUGGGAUAUGAGAAAUUUUUAGCUGAAGAUCUUUCUGCAUUAAACAAAAAUCAGGCCAUUCAUGGACAUCUUCAUAUUUUUUCAGUGUUUACAGGUCGUACAUUUCUAACGUUGAACUGUGGGAUUACAAACAAUUUACCUCCAACAAGAGAAAGACAGAAGCAACUUUUCAACGGUAUGUGUUCAUGUUUCCUAAGCUAUCCUUUUUCUUUCAUAGAGCUAAACACAAAGUACAGUCAGUGCUUUCUAGAUGAUAUUUCAGUCCCUUGAAAGUUUCUAUUGCCAAGAACGAAACUUCUGUACAUUCUGGAGAAAACAAGUAACUUCCUGUUGUAAGAAUAAUUAGUUUAAUCCAUUAUUAUGAUUGCUAGAACUUGGUUGUAAACUCCACAUUCUCCUCUGCUCCUCAAAGCUUCCUAUGACUGCAGAUUGCUUCUUAACUCCCAAUUGCUUUGCAAAAAGAUCAUAAUAUGCUACAGGGUCUACACUUUCCAAUAUUUUCACUAAUUUUCCUUGUUUUUCAUCCACCACAAUUUGUCCAUCUUUGGAUUCAACACCUUCAGCCAGGACCUUAAUGGGCUUCAUUCGCGAGAUUGGAUUCAGCAAGGAGUCCCCAGCCAAGACUACUGCACCAAGAAUUUCCCCCAAGAAUGUGUCCUGCAGAAUAACAUCAUUCUGUAAUAGCAGGAAAAGCAGCAAGCAGGAAAAGCCAAGAAUCAAGAUAUUCAUUGAUGAUAAGACAUGUUACUAACAGAACUUAGUUUAGUUG
rnacentral:lncRNA from 1 species